UCCGAACCCACCACGGUUCUUCGUUCUUCAGAAAGGGAAUAUGUACUAUAAUUCCAAACGCUCCAUGGAAGGAAUUGAAUUCCUACACAAUAGUUUGUGUAGCAUUGAGUUGGGUUUAGCCCAACUAGUUUCGGCUGUACCAUGCAAUACACAAGAAAAUGAGGAGUAGUGUAUCGGGAGCAUCAUUCCAAAGCAUGUUACCAUCCUCACACCUAAGGAUAUCAAUGCAAGGGGCACAUGCUCUAGAAUAAAGGGGCAUAGGGAUGGUGUGAGGAGUGGAUCUGGUGAGAAGAGAAGGCCUGGAAUUCAUCAAAAAGUCGCGCGCAAAUGCAACAUUUGUAAGGAAAUGGUGUUUCAUGAUGCAAGAACAUGUUCUAAGAAACAAACGACAAAACAAUAGAGGUAGAUUGAGCUGAUCAAGUGUAUAAGAGCCCAUGGAGGUUGUCAUCUCUUUCCCAGCAUGAAGCUCGAUUGCUAGGAAGCACUAACACGAGGCAAAACGACAGAUAUUUUCAGUCUUGUACCAGCAAGAUGCUUGUUGGGCGAUGAUAAUUUCAGCCUUUACCACUUGGUCUUGCCGGCCAUGUACUAAAAAUGAUCUGUAUGGCUCAUGUACCCAAGUACUCAAAUGCUUGCUGAGCACUGAUAAUUUCAGUCCUUAAUUUGCUCUACUUCCAGUUUGACAUGUAUGCGUGGUUCUACUUGCCUCUUCGUGAUGUGUUCUCAUGUACUGAAAUGCUUGCCGAGCAGCUACAAUUUCAAUCAUUAGGUUGCUAUAUUUCCAGUUUGACAUGUAUGUGUGAUUCUACC